UGUAAGUAAGAAGUGGUCCAAACAAGGCGAAUAAAGUAAACUAAGACAAACCAUGGACCAAAUCAAGAAGAAAAUCGGCUAUUGGUACAUGAGGUAUUUACUAGUAACCGAAUUAUACAUGGUGGAGAAAUGGGAAAGAAACAUGUUUCAUUUAAUUGCCCUUGUCUUAUUGAUUGUCUUGGGUGUGUUUAAUUACUUCGUUAUGGUGGGAGGCAUCAGGUUGUUCCGGACAAUUUUAGCACAUGACUUGAAUGUGGAGGAGUCCCCAGUAGUCCACCCAAAUUAUGGAUGAAAUUAUAAAGAAAAGUAUUUUGUUUUGCAAUAAACCUUUUGUUUGGUUUUUAAUUAACA